rnacentral:rRNA from 1 species
AACGAACGCUGGCGGCAGGCUUAACACAUGCAAGUCGAACGGGCGUAGCAAUACGUCAGUGGCGGACGGGUGAGUAACACGUGGGAAUAUGCCUUUCGGUUCGGAACAACUCGGGGAAACCCGUGCUAAUUCCGGAUACGCCCUUACGGGGAAAGAUUUAUCGCCGAAAGAUUAGCCCGCGUUGGAUUAGCUAGUUGGUGAGGUAAAGGCUCACCAAGGCGACGAUCCACAGCUGGUUUGAGAGAACGACCAGCCACACUGGGACUGAGACACGGCCCAGACUCCUACGGGAGGCAGCAGUGGGGAAUCUUGGACAAUGGGCGCAAGCCUGAUCCAGCCAUGCCGCGUGAGUGAUGAAGGCCUUCGGUUGUAAC